UGGUCAUGUGACCCAGACUAGCCAAUGAAAGUAUUUGAUUCCCAUGACUGUGGUGAUUGGCUCAUUGUUAGGGGUGCGUUUCAAGAUGAGCCAAUCAGUGUCCUGUGCUGGAUGGAUAUGGCUGCAUAGACACAGGUAGAGGGUGAGCUCUUUCUGUGUGGUAGCUAACUAUGUCCAAUGCAAGCAUUCCCUGCCAGGAGGAGGGUCUGCUGAAAAGAUGGAGAGCACUUAUGACAUCAUUUGAAUGCCAGAGUCCAGAGAGAACAAGUUUCUUCAAUCAACCCUUAUUUUUCUUUGCUGUGAGGACCAGGAAGGAACCAAUCUGUUUAAAAACUGUUGCCCGCUGGUGGCUCGUUGCCAGGUCUGAGAUAACACUGGUGGUCCCUCUGAGGGCUGAGGACGCAUUCCCCGGGUACUGCAAUCAGAGCAGACGCAUGUGCAGCUGUGGAUGGAGGGAGCUGACGUGUUCUCUCCGGGAGCAGAGGAGCAAAUGUCACGAGAAAAGCCCUUGAAAAUGGUUCUCAUCCCUUUCUCCAUCGCAGACAACCCAGAAUAAACUGUUCUGAAAUGUUGACGUUUAAUAAUAUUAAUAUUAGUAAUGGCUGGAAAGGGCUUCUGGUAAUGAGAUUCCAGGAUAAAUAGGUCACUGGGUUUUCAUUGCUUAUCAAUGAAGUUCCCAAAAAGAUCUUUUUUAAGGAAAUAGGCUCAUGUAAACUUUUUUUUUUUUAAAAAAAGGAAGGAAAUACAUUGUCUUUAUAAUAAGGCAAUGCAAGAGGGAUUUUUGUUGAUUUGUUUUGAGGAACUAUUUAUAAAAUGAUGAAGAUUUUAAAAAAUAAAAAAGGCUGAGCAUGGUGGCUUAUGAAUGUAAUCCCAGCACUUUGAGAGGCCAAGGCAGGAGAAUCGCUUGAGCCCAGAAGUUCAAGAUCAGGCUAGGCAACAUAGUGAGACCUUGUCUCUAAGAAAAAUGAAAAAAAAAAAAAAAAUUAGCCAGGCAUGGUGGCACACACCUGUGGUCCCAGCUACUCGGGAGACUGAGGUGGGAGAAUGGCUUGAGCCCAGGAAGUUGGGGCUGCAGUGAGCCUGUGAUUGCACCACUACACUCCAGCCUGGGUGACAGAGCAAGACCCUGUCUCAAAAAAAAUAAAAAUAAUUUAAAAAGAAAACAAAAUUGAGAAUCCUCUGCUGGUCCCUGUUAUGUCUUACUCAGAAAGUGACAUAGGUGAAUUUUAUCUUAGGAAAAUGUACUGCUACUGUGUUUCCAGCUGUAUCAGUGCAUUCUUACCUUCCCUAAAUUAAAAGCCCAUCACUGCUAGCUCCUAAGGACUCCUUUCAGUACCGCCUUUUCAAUGCCACUUGAGCAUCAUGGUUCUAACAGUUAAGUUUGGCCUGCUUUGCGCUGUAAAACUUGCCUGCAAAUAGCUUGGUGGUCUGCCCUGGAUUUGCCAGGAGCCUGUUUUUUGAAAGGGGCUUAAGGCACAAGGCUGCUGAGUUUGGAAUCAUUUUGCCAACCCUGGCAGCCUCUGUGACUCUAUGAUUUCUUUAAUGUUCCCGUCUUUCUCAUUUCCCUAAAUAAACUGAAGCCUUUACUGGAAGGUCAAGUAAAUGUUACUGUGAAUCACUACUAGUAGAGGCUCCAGAAAAGGGAAUCCUGGUUGCUCUCAAAUAAUCUUGAAAUUUCACUCUUUUAAUUAUUUUUAAGCCCCUGUUCUUAAAAAAAACUGUAGAAACAUAUGUAACAUAUAUAAACCAAAAUGUCUACUGAUUUUCAGGCUAACUGAAGACUAACUAGAAAUAAGUUUAUUGCCCCAAUGCUGUUGUUCAGAAGCUUUCUGAUAUGUUCAUUCACCUUCCUGCCUUAUUAAUCAGAGUAAACAUGAUGAACUGUAUAUUUCUAUGUAACAUCAUAUACCAUACUAAUUUUCACUUGCGUUCUUAAUAUAAUUUAUCUUUUUGGGAAUUGGGCAUUGAACUACAUUAAGUAGUUUCAGUAUCUCCCCUUGAAUAUGUUGAGGGAAUCUUUUGAAAUCAACUUUGUACUGUCAUUUCAUUUUCUUUUCGUAUACAGCUAAGAUUUAUUGAGUGCUUACUGUGAGCCAGACAAUGUGAUAAGUGUUUUAAGUGAAUGAUCUAUUUUAAUGCUUUUUAAAAAUCAACACUGACUUAGUAAUAGUGUUUUCCCUUUAUUAAAGAUGAAGAAACUGAGUUCAGAAAAGUGAACUGACUUACCAAGGUUACUCAACCAGUAAGUGUUGAAAUCAUAACUAAACUGUAGCUGUGUUUGACCACACAGCCUUGCUUACAACUCACAAAAGACUUGAGUUCCAUUCCCAGCUUUGAACUUUAUAGACCAAGUAAUUCUUGACCUCCCCAGGCAUCUUCAUCCUUAUUUAUAAAAUGAAGGUAAUAGUGCCUCCCUUCCAAAGUUGGGGUACUAAGACUUGUGAGAAAUUACUUCCAAACUCUAAAAUGCUAAAUACACGUAAUGUUAUUGCUUUUACAUGUUUAUUAGCUAGCGAUGUCUUUAGUUAAUUGCAUUAGCUAAAUUAACAUAUUAUGCUUAGAUUAUAGGUGGGAAGCCUCACUAUUAGCUAGCGA
rnacentral:lncRNA from 1 species